AUUGAACGCUGGCGGCAUGCCUUACACAUGCAAGUCGAACGGCAGCACGGACUUCGGUCUGGUGGCGAGUGGCGAACGGAUGAGUAAUGUAUCGGAACGUACCUUUCAGUGGGGGAUAACGUAGCGAAAGUUACGCUAAUACCGCAUAUUCUGUGAGCAGGAAAGCAGGGGAUCGCAAGACCUUGCGCUGAUUGAGCGGCCGAUAUCAGAUUAGCUAGUUGGUGAGGUAAAGGCUCACCAAGGCGACGAUCUGUAGCGGGUCUGAGAGGAUGAUCCGCCACACUGGAACUGAGACACGGUCCAGACUCCUACGGGAGGCAGCAGUGGGGAAUUUUGGACAAUGGGGGCAACCCUGAUCCAGCCAUGCCGCGUGAGUGAAGAAGGCCUUCGGGUUGUAAAGCUCUUUCGGCCGGGAAGAAAUCGCAUAGGUUAAUACCCUGUGUGGAUGACGGUACCGGAAUAAGAAGCACCGGCUAACUACGUGCCAGCCGCCGCAGUAACAC
rnacentral:rRNA from 1 species